rnacentral:misc_RNA from 1 species
GGAUGAACUUUAUAGGACGGGAUCCAAGGUUCCUCCAGAAGAGUUCAUUAAUAGCAAGCUAACCCCCAAACUUGCACGGCAGAUGCAAGAUGCUCUUGCAUUGUGCAGCGGAAGUCUGCCUUCUUGGUGUUUCCAGAUGACCAAAUCAUGUCCUUUUCUGUUUCCAUUUGAAACGAGAAGACAGUAUUUCUACUCGACAGCCUUUGGACUAUCUCGUGCAUUGCAUCGGCUUCA